AUUGAACGCUGGCGGCAGGCCUAACACAUGCAAGUCGAACGAGUGGCGGACGGGUGAGUAAUGUCUGGGAAACUGCCUGAUGGAGGGGGAUAACUACUGGAAACGGUAGCUAAUACCGCAUACCAUCGGAUGUACCCAGAUGGGAGUAGCUAGUAGGUGGGGUAAAGGCUCACCUAGGCGACGAUCCCUAGCUGGUCUGAGAGGAUGACCAGCCACACUGGACCGGAGACACGGUCCGGACUCCUACGGGAGGCAGCAGUGGGGAAUAUUGCACAAUGGGCGCAAGCCUGAUGCAGCCAUGCCGCGUGUAUGAAGAAGGCCUUCGGGUUGUAAAGUACUUUCAGUGGGGAGGCGUUACCGGCAGAAGAAGCACCGGCUAACUCCGUGCCAGCAGCCGCGGUAAUUC
rnacentral:rRNA from 1 species